GACGAACGCUGGCGGCGUGCUUAACACAUGCAAGUCGAACGGAAAGGCUCCAGCUUGCUGGAGUACUCGAGUGGCGAACGGGUGAGUAACACGUGGGUAAUCUGCCCUGCACUCUGGGAUAAGCCUGGGAAACUGGGUCUAAUACUGGAUAUGACCUUUCUCCUUAUGGGGUUUGGUGGAAAGUUUUUCGGUGUAGGAUGAGCCCGCGGCCUAUCAGCUUGUUGGUGGGGUGAUGGCCUACCAAGGCGACGACGGGUAGCCGGCCUGAGAGGGUGGUCGGCCACAUUGGGACUGAGAUACGGCCCAGACUCCUACGGGAGGCAGCAGUGGGGAAUAUUGCACAAUGGGCGGAAGCCUGAUGCAGCGACGCCGCGUGAGGGAUGACGGCCUUCGGGUUGUAAACCUCUUUCAGCAGGGACGAAGCGUAAGUGACGGUACCUGCAGAAGAAGCACCGGCUAACUAUGUG
rnacentral:rRNA from 1 species